ACUCGUACCUUUUGCAUCAUGAUUUAGCCAGCAACCUCCAAGCAAAGAGCACUUUAGUUUGGCCCCCCGAAACUAGGUGAGCUACUCCAAGACAACUUAUUAAUAGAGCAAACCCGUCUCUGUGGCAAAAGAGUGGGAAGAACUUCGAGUAGCGGUGACAGACCUAUCGAACCUAGUCAUAGCUGGUUGCCUGGUAACUGAAUAGGAGUUCAGCCUCUCAACUUCUCCCCAAAUUGAGAGAGUUAGUCAAAGGGGGUACAGCCCCUUUGACACAAGACACAACUUUACCAGGAGGGUAAAGAUCACAAUAACACCCCAAGGAACAAUGCUCCGGUGGGCUUAAAAGCAGCCACCCCCUCAGAAAGCGUUCAAGCUCUAGCAUUCGAUCCUGAUAGCCCUAUCUUAACCCCCUCACCCUACCAGGCCUUCCCAUGCAAACAUGGGAGUAAUAAUGCUAAUAUGAGUAAUAAGAGGAGCCCCUCUCCCCGCACAUGUGUAAAUCGAAAUGGACCAACCACCGAACUUUAACGGCCCCAAAACAAAGAGGGUAUUGGACAACAACCAGAAAACCACCCACCGUUAACCCUACACUGGUGUGCCCCCAGGGAAAGACAGAAGGAGAGAGAAGGAACUCGGCAAAUGAGCCUCGCCUGUUUACCAAAAACAUCGCCUCUUGCACAAAUAAGAGGUCCCGCCUGCCCUGUGACGAUAAGUUUAACGGCCGCGGUAUCCUGACCGUGCGAAGGUAGCGCAAUCACUUGUCUUUUAAAUGGAGACCUGUAUGAAUGGCAUAACGAGGGCUCGACUGUCUCCUCUCCCCAGUCAAUGAAAUUGAUCCUCCCGUGCAGAAGCGGGAAUACACACAUAAGACGAGAAGACCCUAUGGAGCUUUAGACACUAAAGCAGAUCAUGUCAAAACCCCCUAAACAAGGAACAAAACUAAUUGAGCUCUGCCCUAAUGUCUUCGGUUGGGGCGACCGCGAGGCACAAAAAACCCCCGCGUGGAUCAAGGACAUCCUUACAGCCCAGAGCCCCCGCUCUCACAAACAGAACUUCUGACCUACAAGAUCCGGCAAAGCCGAUCAACGGACCAAGUUACCCUAGGGAUAACAGCGCAAUCCCCUUUUAGAGCCCAUAUCGACAAGGGGGUUUACGACCUCGAUGUUGGAUCAGGAC
rnacentral:rRNA from 1 species